rnacentral:rRNA from 1 species
CAGCAGCCGCGGGAAUACGUAGGGUGCAAGCGUUAAUCGGAAUUACUGGGCGUAAAGCGUGCGCAGGCGGUUAUAUAAGUCAGAUGUGAAAUCCCAGGGCUCAACCCUGGACAGGCGGUGGAAACUACCAAGCUGGAGUACGGUAGGGGCAGAGGGAAUUUCCGAUGGAGCGGUGAAAUGCGUUGAGAUCGGAAAGAACACCAACGGAGAAAGCACUCUGCUGGGCCGACACUGACACUGGGAGACGAAAGCUAGGGGAGCAAAUGGGAUUAGAUACCCCGGUAGUCCCUGUCUCUUAUAC